AAACUAAUUGAAAUGUUCAAAGCAUUAGUGAAAAUCACCGAAAGUCAGCUAGGUGCAAAACCAUCUCUAUUCAAUCCCACAAUUGUUGGCAAGAAUUAAUUAAUCUUCACCUUAUUGCAUAACAAGAAAGGCAUUGGAUUGGGUGUUAGAUAGAUGUUUGCCCACACGACUUCAAAGGCAGAUAAAAUAGUUGCAAAACCAAAUGAUUUCAAGGAAGACGAAAUUAUUAGUUAUUUUUCUGAUAUUCUUUUGUAACCUUAAAAGUUCGCCUGCUGUAACUGAUGAUGAUUUCGGAGAAACAUACCCAGAAGCGGGUAUAUGGCCGCCUUUGGACGAUUUUGAAGAAUUUCAAGAAGGAACAAUGUUGUUAAUUUUACGCCGUGUCAUUAAAAGACGAGCUAUUCCAUUGCAUUUCCAUCUUUCAUCUGAGGAACCUAUCUGGCAUCAACAAAAUGCGUAGAUUGUGACUGAUGCAUUGAGAAUCCCGUUGCGUUUGCCACAACAACAGCUCACAUUUAAUGAUCUUUCUUAUUGUAUUGAGAAUAAGUUUAUGUUGUUUAUAACGUUAAGAAUAUCUUCAAAGGUACGGUUACAUUUGAUUAUUUUUUCGGGGAAUGGGCAGAGUUUUGUACAUUUUGAUUUAUUUACCGCAAAUGAAUUUUUAUAGUUAGACACAAUACGUUACACUUGAUAAAAAUAGUUUUGAGGCAUUAAAAAAAAACCCUCUCACACCUGAAUGCUUACUUGAGGUUCAAUACCGAAUUUUUAUUGUUGAUGUAAAAUCUUGAAGAUGUGAAUCCAAGACUGUUGUCAUAUUGUAAAUGCCAUUGUUUUUAUUAGAAAUGCAAUAAAUUUUUGUUUACCCUUCAUUGAUUCUAUUAGAGGGGUUGUUCAGUUUCACGAUAAAAGAUUAACUGGGUUUUUGGACCUUUUUAAACAAAAAAAAUUACAUGCACCAGUAUUACAGAUUUAAAUCAUUGUAGCUAGUCAU